UAAUGCUGAUUCUUCGAAACAAAAAUAAAUAUCUAGAUUUUACUAUCUCGUAUCUUUUUCCUUUUUUUACAAUAAAAUAUUCGUGUAAUGAAAAAUUAUCAUUCAGGCAACAGUAUUAUAUAUAUAUGAUCUGCUCCGUUAAGAUCGAAGACGCAAGAACGCAAGAGGUUUAAUCGUAAAAACAUCAAGCAAUACGAUAUAGGUGUUCUCCUGAUGCAAUACUCGGGGACACAAAUGGUUGUCGUACACCGUCGUUAUAAUGCUUCGAAGGGAUUAAGCGGCUGUAUGAGUUCGAAUAAUACCGUAUGAGCGUAAACUUGCGGAACAGUUGAAAACAAAAGCACGAAGCCGGUUGAUGAUCACGUGUAGAUACCACUGAUCGUGAUAUAUGAAUAUAGACUACGAUUACUCUUCGGAACCUUGCAUCAGUGUCACUGGAUUAUUUAUAGCUAUAAAGGAAUUCACGGUGCGGUUAAACUGGGCCGAUGAUGGUUAUUGGAAAACUGCAUAUCAGCAAGGUCACAUCAACGAGUAUCUAAGCACCAUAAUUAAUGGCGGAAAGGGAGAGAGAGAGAAAAAAAAAAUGACGAAAUUCCUGUAGCGGAAGAAUAACAGAGAGUUCGAAAAUGACAAAAUGUCGGAAAUAAAGUCUAUUAAUAAUUCGGUUUAUUUAUGGAAACGGGGCGUACGAUGAAAAAAUUGUAGUCAUCGUCAUCGUUAUAUUUGCUCACACACGCGAUAAUUUGAACUGCUCUUUAGCCGCGACGUAUUACGAUUUAUUUCAACAGCGUUAUCAAUUCGUAUAUUGUAAUAAACGUUUCAUGGAAAUGUUAUUCGUGAUAAAAUACAAAGAUAGUACUGUAGGCACGCAGGAAAGAUCAAAAUGAUUUUUCUUCACCAAGCAUUAACAUCUUCAUUCAAAUUAAAUAAGUUUCCUUUUGCAACUCUCAGAAGAAUGGGUUUUCUUAAGCAAUGGUACACGUGUGUUAUAUACAUUAAUCUUUCUGGUACAUAACAAACAAUUCGGAGUUCUUAUAAUAUAUGUACGUCAAAUAAUAGGCUCGCAACAAAUAUGCUUAAGAAAGUCAGUGUUGUAAUGUAUAUUUAUUAACUGAACACAUUGAAAGAAACAUAUGCCAGGGUAGUAUAAACAUUGAUACUAAAACAUACUCAUGAAUAUACAUCAAAUUGUGCUGUAAGUUCUUGAAAAAGAAUGUGAUACUAUUCUCCUAAAAAAGUAAUCGAUUCGCUAAAAGAAGAUGAAAAAUAAUUGUACACAUUUGUAUGAAAGCUUAAAACAACACUGACAAGUAUCAUAUGAAACAUGCAUAUAAACUAACCUGCAUUCAAGCAAUAAUUUACGUGCAAAUUGGAUCAUUACAAAUUAUACCCUUUAUAUAAAUAUGGCUUAUUAUUUGAAGAAAGUGACUUGACUUCGAUGCAUUUAUUCAUUAUAUAGACAAUCCCAAAAGCUUUGCGUUCUAACAGGUAUUAGAUACGUUAUGAUAUAGGUAUAUUUUACUUACGUAUUUCACUUUAAUAGAAAAUUCAUACAUAUUCACACAUAGUUUCUUGCCGUAAAGAAGCUAAUGGGACAUUAUCAAUAUGAUGAUUGAGUUGACUGAGAAUGAAGAUGAUAUCUUGGGAAAAUUUUGAUGUUGCAGGUACCACAAUGCUGUAUAUCUAGCUUUCUACUUUAUUUUACAUUGUAAAUCAUAAGCAAACGAUGGCGAGCGUUCACGCACGACGUUGAGGCAGGUAAAGACGCAACUAAAGAACGGAAAAAAGAACUACAUGGGGUGGUUUCCUUGUUGCAUACCGACAAAAUCCGAAGAGAAAAUAUCUUUUAGCUUGGCUUUCUUCUGAACCUGGUCUUUCUGCGUGUGGUAUACUUUACCGCAAAGAGUGUUCCGACAUGUAGCAUGAGAAAAGAGAACAAACAAAAGGAAAUAGUUUUGCCUUCUGAGAAAGUAAAGAAAAAGUACGGAAUAAAUCCAAAGACCUCUGACGUGUCUAAAGAAUUACGACGGACUGCAACAACUGGAAGAGAUCGAUAUCUUUUUCUUUUUUUUUUUUUUUCUGUAUAUAUAUGUGUGCUUUUCUCUCUAAUAUUCUACAAACCACGAAUUAGAAACGAACUUUCGACAAACGAGGAGACUCGAGGAAAACCAUUCGUCGACUCGUAAUAUACACAGAUAUCGGAUGUCAUAAAGUAGAUCGCGCACGAUUUAAUCUUCCUUUGGCUGGAAAGAAAUAGUAUACAUAUAUACUCGAUGUACGCGGCGCGACUUCGCAUUGAGCGAUUUUCACUGGGUAUUACCGAGAAAACUUUCAAUCAACUGUACACCAAACUGAAGAUGAUAUUACCGAAAACAAUUUCACACUUUAUUUUCACAUAGGCCCCCUUUUUAUCACGUACCUUCCAACAAUCUUUGUAUCAGGUUGUCGACGUUCAACUCGACAUCCGCCAUUUUUUCUUGCCACUGACUGACUGACCC